GGAGCUUGCUCUGGUGGCGAGUGGCGAACGGGUGAGUAAUAUAUCGGAACGUACCCUGGAGUGGGGGAUAACGUAGCGAAAGUUACGCUAAUACCGCAUACGAUCUAAGGAUGAAAGUGGGGGAUCGCAAGACCUCAUGCUCGUGGAGCGGCCGAUAUCUGAUUAGCUAGUUGGUAGGGUAAAAGCCUACCAAGGCAUCGAUCAGUAGCUGGUCUGAGAGGACGACCAGCCACACUGGAACUGAGACACGGUCCAGACUCCUACGGGAGGCAGCAGUGGGGAAUUUUGGACAAUGGGCGAAAGCCUGAUCCAGCAAUGCCGCGUGAGUGAAGAAGGCCUUCGGGUUGUAAAGCUCUUUUGUCAGGGAAGAAACGGUGAGAGCUAAUAUCUCUUGCUAAUGACGGUACCCGAAGAAUAAGCACCGGCUAACUCGUGCCAGCAGCCGCGGUAAUCGUAGGGUGCAAGCGUUAAUCGGAAUUACUGGGCGUAAAGCGUGCGCAGGCGGUUUUGUAAGUCUGAUGUGAAAU
rnacentral:rRNA from 1 species